rnacentral:rRNA from 4 species
GAAUGCUGACAUAAGUAACGAUAAAGCGGGUGAAAAGCCCGCUCGCCGGAAGACCAAGGGUUCCUGUCCAACGUUAAUCGGGGCAGGGUGAGUCGACCCCUAAGGCGAGGCCGAAAGGCGUAGUCGAUGGGAAACGGGUUAAUAUUCCCGUACUUGGUGUUACUGCGAAGGGGGGACGGAGAAGGCUAUGUUGGCCGGGCGACGGUUGUCCCGGUUUAAGCGUGUAGGCUGGUUUUCCAGGCAAAUCCGGAAAAUCAAGGCUGAGGCGUGAUGACGAGGCACUACGGUGCUGAAGCAACAAAUGCCCUGCUUCCAGGAAAAGCCUCUAAGCAUCAGGUAACAUCAAAUCGUACCCCAAACCGACACAGGUGGUCAGGUAGAGAAUACCAAGGCGCUUGAGAGAACUCGGGUGAAGGAACUAGGCAAAAUGGUGCCGUAACUUCGGGAGAAGGCACGCUGACACGUAGGUGAAGUGAUUUACUCAUGGAGCUGAAGUCAGUCGAAGAUACCAGCUGGCUGCAACUGUUUAUUAAAAACACAGCACUGUGCAAACACGAAAGUGGACGUAUACGGUGUGACGCCUGCCCGGUGCCGGAAGGUUAAUUGAUGGGGUCAGCGCAAGCGAAGCUCCUGAUCGAAGCCCCGGUAAACGGCGGCCGUAACUAUAACGGUCCUAAGGUAGCGAAAUUCCUUGUCGGGUAAGUUCCGACCUGCACGAAUGGCGUAAUGAUGGCCAGGCUGUCUCCACCCGAGACUCAGUGAAAUUGAACUCGCUGUGAAGAUGCAGUGUACCCGCGGCAAGACGGAAAGACCCCGUGAACCUUUACUAUAGCUUGACACUGAACAUUGAGCCUUGAUGUGUAGGAUAGGUGGGAGGCUUUGAAGUGUGGACGCCAGUCUGCAUGGAGCCGACCUUGAAAUACCACCCUUUAAUGUUUGAUGUUCUAACGUGGACCCGUUACCCGGGUUGCGGACAGUGUCUGGUGGGUAGUUUGACUGGGGCGGUCUCCUCCUAAAGAGUAACGGAGGAGCACGAAGGUUGGCUAAUCCUGGUCGGACAUCAGGAGGUUAGUGCAAUGGCAUAAGCCAGCUUGACUGCGAGCGUGACGGCGCGAGCAGGUGCGAAAGCAGGUCAUAGUGAUCCGGUGGUUCUGAAUGGAAGGGCCAUCGCUCAACGGAUAAAAGGUACUCCGGGGAUAACAGGCUGAUACCGCCCAAGAGUUCAUAUCGACGGCGGUGUUUGGCACCUCGAUGUCGGCUCAUCACAUCCUGGGGCUGAAGUAGGUCCCAAGGGUAUGGCUGUUCGCCAUUUAAAGUGGUACGCGAGCUGGGUUUAGAACGUCGUGAGACAGUUCGGUCCCUAUCUGCCGUGGGCGCUGGAGAACUGAGGGGGGCUGCUCCUAGUACGAGAGGACCGGAGUGGACGCAUCACUGGUGUUCGGGUUGUCAUGCCAAUGGCACUGCCCGGUAGCUAAAUGCGGAAGAGAUAAGUGCUGAAAGCAUCUAAGCACGAAACUUGCCCCGA